UACGUAGGGGGCGAGCGUUGUUCGGAAUUACUGGGCGUAAAGGGCGUGUAGGCGGUGCGGUAAGUCGGGCGUGAAAUCCCCGGGCCUAACCCGGGGCGGUCGUUCGAAACUGCCGUGCUAGAGUGCAGGAGAGGGAAGUGGAAUUCCCGGUGUAGCGGUGAAAUGCGUAGAGAUCGGAAAGAACACCAACGGCGAAAGCACUCUGCUGGGCCGACACUGACACUGAGAGACGAAAGCUAGGGGAGCGAAUGGG
rnacentral:rRNA from 1 species